CUUUCUCCGCCGGCGACCGGCGCACGGGUGAGUAACACGUAUGCAACCUGCCCCUGUCAGGGGGACAACCCGCCGAAAGCGGGCUAAACCCGCGUACAUGCCACCGGGGCAUCCCGGAGGCAGGAAAGGCUUCGGCCGGACAGGGAUGGGCAUGCGGCGCAUUAGGCAGUAGGCGGGGUAACGGCCCACCUAACCGACGAUGCGUAGGGGUUCUGAGAGGAAGGUCCCCCACACUGGUACUGAGACACGGACCAGACUCCUACGGAAGGCAGCAG
rnacentral:rRNA from 1 species